rnacentral:rRNA from 1 species
AGAGUUUGAUCCUGGCUCAGAUUGAACGCUGGCGGCAUGCCUAACACAUGCAAGUCGAACGGCAGCACAGUCGUAGCAAUACGAUGGGUGGCGAGUGGCGGACGGGUGAGUAAUGCAUCGGGAUCUACCCUGACGUGGGGGAUAACCUCGGGAAACCGGGACUAAUACCGCAUACGUCCUACGGGAGAAAGCGGGGGACCUUCGGGCCUCGCGCGGCAGGACGAACCGAUGUGCGAUUAGCUAGUUGGCGGGGUAAUGGCCCACCAAGGCGACGAUCGCUAGCUGGUCUGAGAGGAUGAUCAGCCACACUGGGACUGAGACACGGCCCAGACUCCUACGGGAGGCAGCAGUGGGGAAUAUUGGACAAUGGGCGCAAGCCUG